rnacentral:lncRNA from 12 species
CGGGGUCAUUGAGGGGCUUGUCAGGAAAAUACAGCGCAGGGACCGCGAAGUGCGGUCCGGUUCCCUUCCCCUUCUUCCCUUGUUCCUCCUUUGCCAUCAUGCUGAGCGCCAAAGCACAGGGCUACA